GAAUCUUGCGCAAUGGGCGAAAGCCUGACGCAGCGACGCCGCGUGUGCGAUGAAGGCCCUCGGGUUGUAAAGCACAACAAACAGGGAAGAAGAAAGUGACGGUACCUGUCUGAAGCACCGGCUAACUACGUG
rnacentral:rRNA from 1 species